GGUAAUACGUAGGUGGCGAGCAUUAUUCGGAAUUACUGGGCGUAAAGGGUCCGCAGGGGGUUUAUCAAGUCAGAUGUGAAAUUUCAGGGCUUAACUCUGAACGUGCAUUUGAAACUGAUAGACUAGAGUAUGUGAGAGGUGAGCGGAAUUUGUGGUGUAGCGGUGGAAUGCGUAGAUAUCACAAGGAAGACCAAAGGCGAAAGCAGCUCACUGGCACAAUACUGACCCUCAUGGACGAAGGCUAAGGUAGCGAAAAGGAUUAGAUACCCUUGUAGUCUUAGCAGUAAACGCUGUACACUCGAUGUUGGUCUGGUUAGUCGGAUCAGUGUCUAAGCUAACGCGAUAAGUGUACCGCCUGGGAAGUACGGUCGCAAGACUAAAACUC
rnacentral:rRNA from 1 species